UACGGAGGGUGCAAGCGUUAUCCGGAUUCACUGGGUUUAAAGGGAGCGUAGGUGGGUUAGUAAGUCCGUGGUGAAAUCUCUGAGCUUAACUCGGAAACUGCCAUGGAUACUAUUAGUCUUGAAUAUUGUUGAGGUUAGCGGAAUAUGUCAUGUAGCGGUGAAAUGCUUAGAUAUGACAUAGAACACCAAUUGCGAAGGCAGCUGGCUAAACAUAUAUUGACACUGAGGCUCGAAAGCGUGGGGAUCAAACAGG
rnacentral:rRNA from 1 species